AUUGAACGCUGGCGGCAGGCUUAACACAUGCAAGUCGAGCGGGGUGAUGGUGCUUGCACUAUCACUUAGCGGCGGACGGGUGAGUAAUGCUUAGGAAUCUGCCUAUUAGUGGGGGACAACAUCUCGAAAGGGAUGCUAGUACCGCAUACGUCCUACGGGAGAAAGCAGGGGAUCACUUGUGACCUUGCGCUAAUAGGUGAGCCUACGUCGGAUUAGCUAGUUGGUGGGGUAAAGGCCUACCAAGGCGACGAUCUGUAGCGGGUCUGAGAGGAUGAUCCGCCACACUGGGACUGAGACACGGCCCAGACUCCUACGGGAGGCAGCAGUGGGGAAUAUUGGACAAUGGGGGGAACCCUGAUCCAGCCAUGCCGCGUGUGUGAAGAAGGCCUUAUGGUUGUAAAGCACUUUAAGCGAGGAGGAGGCUCUUUUGGUUAAUACCCAAGAUGAGUGGACGUUACUCGCAGAAUAAGCACCGGCUAACUCUGUGCCAGCAGCCGCGGUAA
rnacentral:rRNA from 1 species